CAGCCACACUGGAACUGAGACACGGUCCAGACUCCUACGGGAGGCAGCAGUGGGGAAUAUUGCACAAUGGGCGCAAGCCUGAUGCAGCCAUGCCGCGUGUGUGAAGAAGGCCUUCGGGUUGUAAAGCACUUUCAGCGAGGAGGAAGGGUUCAGUGUUAAUAGCACUGUUCAUUGACGUUACUCGCAGAAGAAGCACCGGCUAACUCCGUGCCAGCAGCCGCGGUAAUACGGAGGGUGCAAGCGUUAAUCGGAAUUACUGGGCGUAAAGCGCACGCAGGCGGUUUGUUAAGUCAGAUGUGAAAUCCCCGCGCUUAACGUGGGAACUGCAUUUGAAACUGGCAAGCUAGAGUCU
rnacentral:rRNA from 2 species